AAAUAUUUAAAAAAAAAAAAAAAAAAAGAGACCCUGUCUCAAAAUAAAAAAAUUAAAAGGGCUGGGGAUAUAUCUCAGUGGCAAAGCAUCCUGGGCUCAAUCCUCAGGAACCACCCCCUUCCCCCAAAAAAAUUGUCACAAGCAACUAAUUUUCUGAGGUAACCAAACCAGGUUUUCUUUGAUAAGAAUUGGACCUUGUCUGAUAGAAAAGGAUGGGCUCCUCAAUUCAGCAAACAUUGCACGAACCUGCUAUGUACUAUAGGUUGUGGUCUCUUCUGAAGAGAGAGCAAUGAAUGAGACAGGCCCUUGCCCUCAAGGAACCCAUAGUCUAGUGGGAGAGAUGGACAAGAAAGUAAAUAUUUAUAAUUUAGUGUAUUGGAAAAACUCCAGACGCAGGGAACAAGUAUAGAAGAAGUAACAUAGAAUCAGGAAUGACGAGUUAGCCUAUAAUAAUUAAUUUAUGAUAAUUAAGUAGUAGGUAGAAGUGUCAGAUGAGAAAAUAGUUUUCCUAUGGUCUAAGAAAGAGCUAGCUCAUAUUUUACUUAAAAAAAAUAUAUGACGAAUAGUCCCUUAAGAGUGUUGGGUAAUGGAGGAAAUGUAAUCUACUUGGGAUAAAAUUUUUUAUCUUCCUUAUAGUCAUCUUAGUGAUUAUAGAUUUGGCUUGUAAUCAAGGGAAAAAAAGAAAACAUGUUUCACCUUAGAUAGUUAUUAGCAUUAUGGUCUUAUUUAUUUAUAUCUUUUUGUGUUUUAGAAAAAUGGCAAUAAGAAUUUUUUGGUGGACUUUGAGUAGAACUCAACAAUAGAGCAGUUGCCUAGCAGGCAUGAGGACUCAGUUCAAUCCCCAGCAUAGCCAAAGCAUCUUUGUGAUACAAAUACAUAUCUUUUUCAUAGUCAGUAGAUAUUUUAGAGCAAUGCUGGAGAGGAACUUUGGAUUUUAUAAGUGUUUUUGAGAAAAGAUUAUAAAAUUUUAAUCACAACUUUAGAUACGUCUAUUUUUAGAUCUGAACAAAUAUAAUAGAGGUCUCAGUUGAGGUGAUUCUCUUCCUUGACUUAGUCAUUAACACACAGUUAUGAAGAGCGUGUGUACUCUAUACUAGGCUCUAGGCAUUGGGAGUUUAGUGCCUCUAUUAAGCUUAAGGUUAGUAGAGCAUACAGCAGGCAAGCACCAGGCCAGUGAGCCUAAUACAGUGCCACAUGCCUAUAAUCCCAGUGAUUUGGGAGGCUGAGACAGGAGGAUUGAAAGUUAGAGGCCAGCCUCAGCAAUUUAGUGAGAACCUAUCUCAGAAUAAAAAAAAAGGGGGCUGGGGUUCUGUUUCAGUGGUAGAGUUCUUGCCUAGCACAUGUGAGGCAUUGGGUUCUAUCCUCAGCACCACAUAACAAACAAAAAACAGCUUGGGUGCUCAGUGGUGUAGCACCCUUGGGUUCAAUCCCCAGUACCGCAGGGGGCUACGGGGACAUUAGGCCAAUAAACAUGGAAACAAGUUCAUAAUUACAAAUUGUAAACAACUCAAUGAUAAAUGAGAGGGUGAAAUGAGAGUAAUUCAGUUUAGGGAGUAAUCAAGGAACAUCUUGCUGGGGAAGUGAAUUUGGAGUUGAGAUGUUUUUUUUUCUUGCGGGGGUAACUCCAGCCCUAUUUUGUAUUGAACUGGUAAUCCUCCUGCCUCUGCCUCCUGAGCUGCUAGGAUUACAGGUGUGCGCCACCACGCUGGGUCUGGAGUUGAGGUCUUAAGAAUGAGUUAAAUUUGGUGAAAGUGGGAGUGGAGAGAAGAAGGUUUCUAGAUAGAGGGCUGGGGAUAUAAGCUCAGUUGGUAGAGCGCUUGCCUUGUAUGCACAAGGCCAUGGGUUUAAUCUCAGCACCAUAUGACACCAGCACCACCUGCACACGCACACACACACAAAAAGAUUUCUAGAUAGAGAUCUGAAAAAUUUUUUUCAAGUAUUUUUAGUUGUAGAUGGACACCAUAGCUUUAUUUUUUACUUAUUUUUUGAGAGAGAGAAAGAGAAUUUUAAUAUUUAUUUUUUAAUUUUCGGGGGACACAACAUCUUUGUUUGUAUGUGGUGCAAGGAUCGAACCCAGGCCGCACGCAUGCCAGGCAAGCGCGCUACUGCUUGAGCCACACCCCCAGCACCCCCCCCAUAGCUUUAUUUUUAUGUGAUGCUAAGAAUUAAACCCAGUGCCUCACAAUCCCAGACCCGAAAUUUAUGUUUUAAAAGCAAAAACUAGGGGUCAGGGUUGUGGCUCAGUGGUAGAGCACUUGCCUAGCAUGCAUGAGGCACUGGGUUUGAUCCCCGGCACACAUAAAAAUGAAAACAAAUAAAAUAAAGGUAUUAUGUCCAUCUACAACUAAAAAGAUAUUUUAAAAAUGUUUCUUAAAAAAAAAAAGCAAACCCCACAAAAGUAUAAACCUUCACACUCCACCCCAGGUUUCCCUCUUUUAUUUUCUAUUGUCGUAUUUCAGUUCAUGUUAAUUUUUUUUUAAACUGGGGAUUGGACCCCAAGGAUCCCACUGAGCUUCAUCCCCAGCCCUUCUUUUUGAGGCAGGGUCUUACUAAGUUGCCCAUGCUGGCCUUGAAUUUGGAUCUUCCUGCCUCAGCUACCCUAAUUGCUGAGAUUACAGGUAAGCUCCUCCAUACCUGAUUUAUGUUAAUUUAAUAUAAAUGUGAUUUUGUCUGUCACAUACAGUCCCUCAACCUUACCACAGUCUUCCCUUCCAGGCUAUACAGCCAAACACCCAAAAUCACAAGGAGGCUAUAUCAGAACAUAUGGAUCUACUUUCUAUAUUUCUUGUAAAAUAAAGAUCAGAGUUUCACUUAUCUUAUACUUCUAUGGUAAGAUUAUAUAUAACGAAUGUCAUUUAGAACACUAUCUGGGGGAAGUGUAGUAGGGACACAAUAAAUGUCAAUUUAUUCUAGCGUAUGUGUAUGCUAUCAUUUUUCCUGAGUUUCAUUUCUAGUCUCUAAGAUUUUAAAAGACAGGGUCUCAUUAUAUUGCUUAUGGCCUCACUAAGUUGCUGAAGUUGGCCUUGAACUUUAGAUCUUCCAGCCUCAGCGUCCCUAGUCA
rnacentral:lncRNA from 1 species